UACGUAGGUGGCAAGCGUUGUCCGGAUUUACUGGGCGUAAAGAGCGCGCAGGCGGUCGUUCAAGUCGCGUGUGAAAGCCCCCGGCUCAACUGGGGAGGGUCACGCGAUACUGAUCGACUCGAAGGCAGGAGAGGGUAGUGGAAUUCCUGGUGUAGCGGUGAAAUGCGCAGAUAUCAGGAGGAACACCGGUGGCGAAGGCGGUUCUCUGGGCAUGAUCUGACGCUGAGGAGCGAAAGUGUGGGGAGCGAACAGG
rnacentral:rRNA from 1 species